rnacentral:sRNA from 1 species
CUUUUAGAAACUUAGGUAUUGUAAAGAAGUAAGUUACUAAAAAUAGAACCUGCUCUUUCAAGACUUCUUCAGCUCUGUCACGGAAAACACGUCCUGAUCUCAACUUUUAUUAGGAAAUAUUGAACUCUUGACUCUGAGCUCUGUUUAAUAAUGGCUGCACCCAAGAAAGAGGAAAAUGCCA